rnacentral:rRNA from 1 species
GCCGCGUGUAGGAAGAAUGCCCUAUGGGUUGUAAACUACUUUUAUACAGGAAGAAACACUGGUAUGUAUACCAGCUUGACGGUACUGUAAGAAUAAGGACCGGCUAACUCCGUGCCAGCAGCCGCGGUAAUACGGAGGGUCCGAGCGUUAUCCGGAAUCAUUGGGUUUAAAGGGUCCGCAGGCGGUCAAUUAAGUCAGAGGUGAAAUACCAUAGCUCAACUAUGGAACUGCCUUUGAUACUGGUUGACUUGAGUCAUAUGGAAGUAGAUAGAAUGUGUAGUGUAGCGGUGAAAUGCAUAGAUAUUACACAGAAUACCGAUUGCGAAGGCAGUCUACUACGUAUGUACUGACGCUGAGGGACGAAAGCGUGGGGAGCGAACAGGAUUAGAUACCCUGGUAGUCCACGCCGUAAACGAUGGAUACUAGUUGUUGGGCAUUA